UUGCUUUGAGGGUUUUUUUUUUUUUUGGCUUAUUCAUGGAUUUGAAUCAUGAAAAAUGUGAAGAACAUGGUUAGAGGAUAGAAGAAAUAGGAUAAGUAAAAAACUGAGGAGGAGAAUGGAGAAUCAACAGGGACAGGAAAAACCAGAACUGAUGGAGCUGUAUGAAAAUCUGAGGGACAAGAGAUUCAACUGAGAAAGAGAGAGACACCAUCUGCUAGUUUCUGAUUGGCUGGAUUAGAGCUGAAGGUCAUUUGAAGGCAGCUAUUUAUCCUUUAGGGCUACAUUGUAAGAGAGGGGAAGCCUCUAGGAGGUGUUUGUUUUUCUCUUCUCCCCUGUCUUUUUAUAGAGGGAAAAGCAGAAAGGGGGAACAGGGUUUGCAGCUGAAUUACUGUUGGAUUGGUUGGCUGAUAAUUUAUUGGAAGAUGCGGAAUCCUUGUGGGUAAAGAUGUUCCUGGGCUUAGUGGGAACCAGCCCGAGAAGCUUCGCAGUUCUCUAGUUUAAAGGGAAUUUGUCGCUAAUACAAUUAGCAGUGCCCUUUUAAGAGUGAUCACAAAUUAAAAAGAGAUUCUCAGUGCUUAUCCUAGGUUAGUCUGACUCAGGUUUGUCCCCUUACAGUUUAUGUUUGACAAUCAAAUGAAUUGAGAUAGUCGUAGAUUAAGUCAAUAAAAGGAGAUUUACUUGGCCACAGCAGAAAGCUAUUAAGCAAGAAUACACACUGAGAAUACACACUGACUUGACUCAGCUGAGCAAGACUCACCCUUGAGUUGCCCAUCACAGUCCGCUAGCUAAGCAUCAGAGAGGCCGAAGGACCUCAUGCCUUUUUAUUAUUAUUAUUAUUUUUGGUAUUCCAGUGACCUAGAAAUAAGGCCAAUAACCCGAACCUUUAGUCCCCUCCUCCAGCCAAGUUUUAAAGAGGGUUUCAGUACCUUUUAAGAAAAACAAAUUAGCCUAACUUUUGAGGAGAAGUAAAGACUUGCUGACGUCAUAGUGCUUCCUCAGUUUGAGAUAAGAAGGGAAGAUCUGCCCAGAAGGAGAGAGUUGAGGAUAGUCGGGAAAGAAGUUAGCAGAGAAACACCUUUGUGUGACGGCGAUAUUCCUGAGGGGACCAACGGCAUCAAGUCUACAGAGCAGAGUUCCAAGGAUAGAAGUACCUCCAUUCCUGAUUUUCCCAACUGUGUGCUCUACCUGGAUUCCUGUGAUCGUGUCAUUGAAAAAAAGAAUUUAAGGAGAGCAGUUUGAACUGUAAGAUUCCUGUUCGUUCUCCUGAUGACUACUGACUGAAUUUUAAAGGUAUUAUUGAAGGUUUUGGAGCAGCUCACCUAACUCUCUUCUUGAAGAAAAUAUUUAUGAUAUAGAAGCAUUGGCUGUCUAAGUUGCUUGUAAGUCUUUGGUCACUUUCAUAUCUUCAUGUAGAGCAUUUUUUUUUUACUACAUAUUUUUGUCCAUCCUCUCCUAGGCACCUUUCAAUUAAUGAGUAUCAUUGUAGAUAUUUUCUUGGUUUGGAAAAUCUAUAACAGAUGUUGCCCAGUAGCUCUAAUUAUCUUUACAGCUUUCUUAGGUCAUUUUGAUUAUAAAGCUGGAUGAUGAGUAUGAGCACUGUGAGACUAA